CAUUUACACAAACAUUGUUUAAAUGCCAGAGCCAGAGUAUCGUUGCAGACCAUGUCACCCCUUUAUCACCACAAUGUACCCACCUUCUGAUGGCUGCCUCAGCAGGAUAACACAAGCCAAGCCAACUUUACGUAUAUAGUGGUUUAAAAACAGCAAGUGCUGAGCAACGUGCUUAACAAUAAGGACAUGAUUAAAAUAAUAAAUAAAUAAUUAAAAAAUAUGUUUAAAAACAUUAAAGUACAUAAAAAAAGCACAAUUAGAAUAAAAUAAUUAAAAUGAAAACCUUCCAUGUCAAACUUCAAAUCAUGUCGAACUGGUUGAGCAGAACAGUGAGUACUGUACUCCACAGUCACCAGAUCUCAGUCCAAUAGAGCACCUCAGAGAUGUGCAGCCGAUAAAUCUGCAGUAACUGUGUGAUGCCGUCAUGUCAAAAUGGACCAAAAUCUCAGAGCAAUGUUUCCAACACUUUGUUGACUUUAUGCCAUGAAGAAUUAAAGAAGCUCUGAAGACUGAAGGGGUCCAACUGGUACUAGAAAAAGAAUGAAGUCACAGCCGGAGGUGCAGUGCUGCUUACAGUGACAUCUACUGGCUAAACAUAGUACUACCACUAAAUAGUGUUCAGCUGAGGUGACUGUACUAUGAAAAUAGGUUUUACCAAGAAUCACACCAACAAAAAAUGUAAUUUCACAACAAAUAAAAUUUAUUCAAUUAUAUAUUACAAAUAUCUACAAGUCAUGUAACAAGUAAAUAUUAAAAUAGACUUUUUUAGAACUAUCGUUCAAAAGGCAUUAUGCUGAAAAAAUAGGAUUUGUUGUGAUCUCACAUUGAAACUGUAAAAGUAUGAUUUUUUUUUUGUUUUUUGUUUCCUUGGAAGCCACAACAGACUUUAAUGUGCACAAGACACAAUGAACAACAUGAGGAGUGAGGCCACAAUAAGGACAUAACACAAUGGCGCAAAAAAGGGGAAAAAGAAAAACAAAAAAUAGUCUGAACACUUCAGUAAACCUCACAAUUAAGUCCACAGUACAGCUCUUUAGGAAAAAAGUACAAACAAUGCAACGCAUGCACAGCAUUUAAUUGCCAAAGUCAAAGAACACCAGCUGUGGCGUGGAUUUCCAGAUGAGGAAGGAAGAAACAGCAAAAACAAAACAGAAAAAAAAAAAAAGAAGCAACUGAAGCCAA